CGGCUGCACCACGCUGAAACACCGGUUCCUGUACGAUCACCGAAGUUAAGCAAACUCAAGCUUGGUCACUACCUAGAUGGGUGACCGCUUGGGAAUACCAGACGC